CACAGAAACAGACUAUUGUUAUUCACAUUUUCCAGCUCUCCUUCACUGUGAGCAAGAACAGUGUAACAGAAGGGACUCAGCUACUGAAAGCAAAAGAUCAGUGC
rnacentral:lncRNA from 1 species